GACGAACGCUGGCGGCGUGCUUAACACAUGCAAGUCGAGCGGAGCGGCGAACGGGUGAGUAACGCGUGAGUAACUGCCCCCCUCUCUGGGAUAACAGUUGGAAACGGCUGCUAAUACCGGCUAGUGGGGGAUGACUCGCGUCCAAUCAGCUGGUGGGUGGGGUAGGGGCCUACUAAGGCGACGACGGGUAGCCGGCCUGAGAAGCCGACCGGCCACAUUGGGCUGAGAUACGGCGCAGGCUGCUACGGGAGGCAGCAGUGGAGAAUAUUGCACAAUGAGGGAAACCCUGAUGAGGCAGCGCCGCGUGCGGGAUGACGGCCUUCGGGUUGUAAACCGCUUUCUGCCAUGACGCGGUAGUGGCAGAAGAAGCACCGGCUAACUACGUGCCAGCAGCCGCGGUAAUUC
rnacentral:rRNA from 1 species